rnacentral:rRNA from 1 species
GUGGGGAAUCUUAGACAAUGGGGGAAACCCUGAUCUAGCCAUGCCGCGUGAGCGAUGAAGGCCUUAGGGUUGUAAAGCUCUUUCAGCUGGGAAGAUAAUGACGGUACCAGCAGAAGAAGCCCCGGCUAACUCCGUGCCAGCAGCCGCGGUAAUACGGAGGGGGCUAGCGUUGUUCGGAAUUACUGGGCGUAAAGCGCGCGUAGGCGGACCAGAAAGUUGGAGGUGAAAUCCCAGGGCUCAACCUUGGAACUGCCUUCAAAACUCCUGGUCUGGAGUUCGAGAGAGGUGAGUGGAAUGCCGAGUGUAGAGGUGAAAUUCGUAGAUAUUCGGAGGAACACCAGUGGCGAAGGCGGCUCACUGGCUCGAUACUGACGCUGAGGUGCGAAAGCGUGGGGAGCAAACAGGAUUAGAAACCCCAGUAGUCC